rnacentral:rRNA from 1 species
CCGUGCCAGCAGCCGCGGUAAUACGGAGGAUGCGAGCGUUAUCCGGAUUUAUUGGGUUUAAAGGGUGCGUAGGCGGCUUUGCAAGUCAGAAGUGAAAUCCAUGGGCUUAACCCAUGAACUGCUUUUGAAACUGCAGAGCUUGAGUGGAGUAGAGGUAGGCGGAAUUCCCGGUGUAGCGGUGAAAUGCGUAGAGAUCGGGAGGAACACCAGUGGCGAAGGCGGCCUACUGGGCUCUAACUGACGCUGAGGCACGAAAGCGUGGGUAGCAAACA